UGAUUUUGUUGCACUUCUGAAGGUUUGGAGUGGAAUCUGCACCUGCAAUUGUAUUUUUGAAAGAACAUGGAAUCAAACCUGUUGUGUACCAUGGUUGUCAAUCUAAAUAUUGGUGCUAAUCGGCAUACAGUUGCAAAUUUUGAACACCUUGGAGACAAGCCGACAACUCAGGUGGAAAUUUGGGUUGAUGUGACCAGUUGUGAAUUGCUUGAUGUAGUGAAUUGCUAUUAGAGUAUUUGGAACACCUUGAAGCAGUUUUUGGAACUGCUUGAUGUAGUGAAUUGCUAUUAGAGUAUUGUGUAUUGUUGUUAGAUUAGCUACUACUAGUUAAUUUGUAUUG